GUCAUCUACACCGACGAGGAGGCCUACUGGCGCUUGCGGGGCUCCCAGAAAUGGGUCCUGCAAGGGGACGCGAACACUGCUUACUUUCAGGCCAUUGCGAACGGCCGCCGUAGGCGCAACACCAUCCCACUCCUCUGGGAUGGUGGGACUCUCCUUCAGUCCCCUAGUGACAUUAGGGCCCACGUCGACGGGUUCUACCGGGCCUUGUUCUCCCCCGCUCCCCGGAGCGGCCUCUCCCUUGCCCUCGAUUACUGGACUGGUAACUAGCUUGUCUCCGCCGCGGAGAACGUGGCCCUCACGGCCCCGUUCUUGGAGGGCGAGGUUUGGGCCGCCAUUAGUAGCAUGAACCCUUCUUCGGCUCCUGGUCCGGAUGGCCUUCCGGUUAAGUUCUUCCGGUCCUUCUGGAAUGUGAUUAAACCUGAGAUCAUGGCCAUCUUCGAUGAGUUCUACGUUGGCUCCAUCGACCUUGGACGCCUUAACUAUGGGAUCAUCUCGCUCAUCCCCAUAGUCUCUGGGGCCUCCGACAUCCACCAGUUCCGCCCAAUCACGGUU
rnacentral:rRNA from 1 species